AAACACCAUGAUCCGAAGGGCCAUUGGGAGGGCGAGGCUAGCCCAUUGCACUGCGGGUGUGCUGACCUCUGCAAUUUCCCCAAAUGCGGGAAAACUCAGCUGCAUAAUUUGUGGUAGUGGGGGACUGCGUGCGUGCUCUCCCCUG
rnacentral:snRNA from 1 species